GGUGCCUUGGCCGAGUGGUUAGGCAGCGGUCUGCAAAACCGCGUACAGCGGUUCAAUUCCGCUAGGCACCUCCA
rnacentral:tRNA from 1 species